GGAGGCGUGCAUGAAUGGCGCGGCGGUGGUGUUUGUGCGGAGGCGGAGCAGACGUGGAGGUGGAUGAUGUGAAGGGAGAGAUGUGUGAUGUGAUAAUGAAGUGGAGGAGAGGGGUAAGGGGGGAUGUAAGCUAAAUGGGUAGGUGAGCGGCGCGGUGGAUCCGAGCUGGGAGGAGUGGAGAGCAGGGAAGGUAGGGGCUGGUAUCAGGUAAAGAGAGGGUGGUAGUCUGAGGAGGGAGCUUGGUUAGAGCAAUGGUUCUGGAUUAGAGGUGAAGAUUGAAAUAGGAAAAGGAUGUGUAGGGGGAAUGGGCUGAAGGUUAGAGAUGGAGCCGAUCAUGUAUUUCAGUGAACAGUGGUGUAAGUUUGUAGAAAUGCUAUUGAAUAUUUUUUUGGUACUGUAAGGCUUACGUAGAUUUUUCGGCAUAGGGCAUUGUGUGAAGAACUAAUGCUAGCUCUAUUUACUAGAUGGUUACCGUUGAGGAAGUUUGCAAUAUGUUAGAUUGAUUUUGAUGUUUGGAUUGUUUUUGGUGAUAUGUUUCCUGGGACCUUGAUUGGUUUUAGGAGGCAGUGAAAUCCAUGUUCUUUAUCGUUGUCUGCUCUUAUUUUCAGUUCUUUAUUCCGAGGACUCCGAUCAAGAAGUUUAUUUAGUGUUGUCUAGCUCAGUUUUUGAGAAAAGAGAUUUGCAUAAAUUGUGUGGUCCCCUUUCGAUGCCAACAUGAUAAGUCACGAUUCGAUGCAUUAUUUUAGCAGCGGAGUUCGCGAGUUCUUAUGUAUUGCAUCUGGAAAUUCUUUCAACAACACAGCCAUUGCAGAUAGCUCUCCUUAAGUGACCCGCGCCCAAUUUUCUCCACAGGUGGCAACAGAGCAUUCCCUCUUUGAAAUGCACAUUGAAGAUCGUGUUCCAAGACACUGGACAGAAUCCUCGCAUAAAUUCCUUGGUCUCAUGUUACCACGACGCUGUGUGGGUGUUGAGGAUAUUAGUCUGUUCCUCCGUCAUCCUGGUGCGCCAGGUUAGUCUUUCCAGUUGUGAUGACGUAAACCACCCAAUGUUUCCAUGCACACGUUAAAGUAUAUUCAAUACUUGUCAACUUCGUACUUAAAUCCCAUCAGUCCAUUAGAAAUUGAUCCUUGUUCAUGAAUCAAAUAGAAUUAUAUUUUGCCGGGGGAUGGAUUGAUCAAGCCCUACUUAUCUUGUUGAAUUUCUAAUACUUGUCCCAGAUUAGCACCUAAGUUUAUGCUACUGUGUCUUGACCUAGUAAUUGUGUUAUUUGGAUGCUAAUUCAAGAUAGCUUGUCCUCUAUCUUCUAACAUCCACCCUGGGACCUAAGUUUGUAGAUAGAGACAAGGAUGGAGAGCAACUCAAGCUUUGGCAAGGCAGUGACCUAUUUCUUGUGGUUGCUCUUUGAGCUGAUCAUGGCUUUGAUGAGAGCCCCUCGACACUAUCUUGAUGUAGGCAAAGUUCUUUUUGCUCAAUUUGAUUGAAGUUGAUGCUUGCAAUAAGAGUACCAAUCUAAAGGUCUCUAUCUAAUAUGUAAUUCAUUUUAAUGAAUAGGAGUUAGUGUAUCCAUAAUCAAUGUAAUGUCCAUUGCCCAAUUUGUGUUUGAUUAAGGCUUGUUUUCUAAGUGCUUUGAUGAGAAUGUUUGUUAUUUGUUCUUGUAAAUUGAUUCUUGAGAUUUUGUUGUCUCUUAAUAUUUGUUCUUUCACAUAAUAGUGGUGCAACUCAAUGUAUUUUGAUCUUAUAUAAAACACUAGGUUUUUGGCAAGCUUAAACUUAAUUGUGUUGAUAUUGUCACAUCUCAAAUGUAAGUCCAUCUCAGUUGGAAUGGCUACACCUGUAAGAUUGAAUGUAGCUUCUUGAUAAGAAUAUAAUGUAUUGAUGUUGGUUGAGACAUUAGAGAGGCAUAAUUUGCGAAGAAUCCUUUGUAAGUAAAUUGCUUCAUUGGCUUCUUUUGAAAGGGAACAAUAUUAAGUUUCAAUAGUAGAUAGAGAAACCAUGAGUUGCUUUUUACUUACCUAAAAAAUUACAUUCCAAGUGAAAAACUAAAGUCAUUAGUACUACAUUUGAAGUCUUUGCAUGAUGCCCAAUCAACAUUAGUAAAAUUAGUAAAUUGAGUAAGUGAAGAAUUAUAAGUAUGAUCAUAGAGGUGGAGUAGAGAUAAAUGUUUGUAGAAGAUACUUUACUUGAAUCACUAGUAGAGAACAUGUUUCACAAUAUACCAAUGAAGUUUUUAGAAACUAGACAUAAAACAACUAACAAAACCUAUAGAAUAAGCUAUAUUUGGAUUGAUAUUUAUUAAAUAAUAUAAUUAAAAAAUAAUAUGAUAAUAAAAAUUUUGAUCGAAAUUUGAUGAGUAAGAUUCUAGAGAGGGGAGGAGACCUUUAGGAGAAAUAUAAGGGCCUCUUUUAAGUUAGAUAUUUAGACAUAAGUCAAGAUCUAUGCUGUAUAUGCAUGUUGAUGAAUAAGUAUGCCUUUUUGGAAGAAUAUAACCUCUAUACUUAAGUAUUACUUAAUAAUGCCUAAAUUUUUCAUUUCAUAUUGAAUGUAAAGUUCAGCCUAUACUUAAACAACUUAAUAGAGAGAAUUCCUAAUAAUUAGUAGUUCAUCAAUAUAUAAUAGCAUGAUAAUAAGUAAAGUGCCAUCUUAGAGCUAAUAUAAAUUAAGAUCCAUUGCAUUGCAUUGCCAAUUUUGAGCAAAAAGAUAAGAAUUUAUUUCCUCUAACCAAACAUGAGGGCUUUGAUUAAGUCCAUAGAUAGAAUAAUUUAACUUGCAUACAAGAUGACUACUGUUGGGAGUUAUAAACCCUUAUAGUUGAUGUAUGUAUACCACCUUUUAGUACUUUUUGUUAAAAAAAUCAGUGACAACAUUUAGAUAAAAGAUGUUCCAUCUAAACAUAGUUACAAGAUAGAUAAUAAUAUAUAGUGUUGACUAUUUACUACAUGAAUAAAGGUCUCUAAAUAAUCUCUACCAAGCCUUUGCUUAUAGCUUUUAGCAACCAACCAUGCAUUAAGCUUGAUAUAAGGAGAAUAAAGAUCCAAUUUAAUACAAAGCAUCCAUCUACCAAACAAUGUUUGUUUAUUUGGUAGAAGUUCAACAAACUCCUAAGUACCAUUCUUGUAGUGAAAUUUCAAUUUUGUUAUAGCUUUCUUCUAUUGUCGGUUUUAUAGAGCUUCUUCAACACUAAUAUUUUUGUUUAAACAUUCAAUAAUGUUAUGAGAACACUUAGAUAAAUUAAAAGAUGUGAGAUACAUAUAAAAAUUGUGGUUCUUUGAAGUAAAAGAUAAGUUCUAUCUUGGUUGUGUUAAAGCCAAUGGAAUAAAAUGAGUUAAAUGACACUGCAUAGAUUUAAGUGACAGUGACACACUAAGAAAAGAUCUUGUAUAUUGAUUAUUGUGAGAAUCAAAAUCUAUAAUUAAUAUGGGAGAUAAGAAGUGAAAAGAGUAGUUGGAGUUAGAGUCAGCAAUAACAAAGAUAAGAAAUUCUUUGACUACAAAAUCUUGAACUGCUUUAUUGAUAGUAAAUGUUUAUUUAAAGAUAGUAUAACAAUAAAUUAAAAUGGAUAUUUCCAAAAUAUAGUAAAAUUAAAAAAUCAUGAAACAAGACUAAGAACAAAAAAGGCUUUAAUAAGAAUGAAGAAAUCCUCAUUCUUAAAUAUAUAUAUAUAUAUAUAUAUAUAUAUAUAUAUAUAUUAUGUGGCGAUAUUUUAUAAGACCUUUAAUAUAUCUCUAACUUAUAAGACAUAUGUCUAAUUUGCAAGGCAAGUCUCUUAUAUAUGCACCACAUGACCAACUUGUUGGCCAAUUUUUUAUUCUAUUAAUCAUCUAUAGACAUAUAUAAAGUCAAAUUUCUGUCAAUAUAGCCUCCAUGAAGAUUCUCAAUAAGAUAUCAUUAAAUUUAUUUUCUUCUACAUAUAUUUAUCUAAUUUGAUGAAUCUAGUUGAUUCAUGAUAAAAAUAUGUAUAUCACUAAAAAUUGAUGUUUAAUAAUCGAAAUACCCUUGAUAAUUUCUAUCUAGUUUCAAACUACAUCACAAUAUUUAAACACUUUAGAAUGAUCAUUGUAUUCAAUGAGAAUACAAAUAAUAGAUUUAAUUCCAAGCUCUUAUUGUUGUUUAUUGAGAAAACAUACUAAGAUUUGUGAACCUAAAAUAAAGUGAAAAAAAAUAACAAUAAUAAUAACAAUAAUAUUUUAUAUAUAAUAUUAAAUAUAAUAUAGUAAUAGUUGCAAAUCAUAACAUAAAAAUUGUGAAACCUUUUUUACCUCCUCAACUUCAAUCUUUCAACAUCACAUGCCAACUAAGCAUUCUACACCACCCAAGUUCCUUUUAAUUAUUAUUAUUUUAUUUGCAUCCAUCUUAUAUUUAAUAUUUGUAUCCACCAACUCUACUUCAAACAUACAAAUGACCUUCCAAUAAUGCAUGUACUUGACUUAUGAAUCCUUCCAACACCACAUACUAACAAAUGUAUUCUAUUUCAUGAUUAAGUUUUCCUUUCAUUUUAUCUUCCAUGAUAUUAUUUAUGCAACUUCUUUCCAUUAAUCUCAUUGAACUACAACAAAUCAUCUUUAAAAAUAUAGUUUCUUUUGUAAUAUAACUUGGUACUAAUGGAGUGUCAUGGACAUAUGCAUGUAAGCCAAUAAUUACAUGCAUAAAUAAGUAGAAGUAAGUAAAAGUAUGUAAAAGUAAAUUAAUUCUAUAAUAUUUGCUAUAGAAGCUUCUUAAAAGCUUUAUAGACACUGAUUUGACUUUAUAGGUUUCUUUAAUUGACUUUUUGGAUUAGAAACAUAGUCAACAAGUUGGCCAUGUGCCACACAUAUUAUUAGCUUGAAGACCAAGCUAACUAUGUGGCCCACACAUAGAAAAACUUGCCUUGUAAGUCAAAGCAUGUGUCCUACAAAGUCAACACAUAUUGGAGGUCCUACAGAACAUCACCACAUAGCCCCUAGUUAGAUAGUAUAUAUAGAGACAAGAGUGAAGCCUUCUUCACUCUUAUCAACUCAUUUCUUGCUUCCAGUCUAGUUUCAAGGGUCUUUAGUUUUCUUGACUUUUGGCAAUAGCCAUUCCAGUUUCUUUCUUAAUAUACGUAUCAAGUUAUUUCUAUUUUGUCAUCUUUCUUUGAGAGAAGUGUCACUUGUUUAUUUAUUUUUAUCAUAUUCUUGUCUUUGAUAGAUUCACAAGAAUACACUUAUAAUAUUAGAGCUUUGUCUAAUCUUGAUUAAGAGUGGAUUAUCCCUUUUUCUUGAUAAGACAUUAGUAUGUUAGAAGUUGUGGAUUAUCUUCUUCUAAACUGAUAUUGUCCUUAGUAUUUUCUUUGUUCUCAAGUCCUCUCUUCUAUUUGAGUGAUAUUAGACAUCUUCUCUUUUCUAAAUAUUAUCAUGGAAAAACUUGGUAAAAUGAAGAGUGCAAUGGUACAAAUGCAAGAGCAAUUGAGGGAGUUAAUGUUUGCGAUGCAUCAACUUAAUUUAUCACCAUAAGGAGCAACAAGAUUAGUAGGAAGUGAAGAUAUAGAAAUGAUUGGAGCUGCUUCAACAUCUGCACCAAAUCAUGUUCCUUCUCCUAUGGUAGAACGCCUUUCCAAUGUUAGAGAACCAAGAAUUGCCCUACCCGAGAAGUUUGAUGGCACCAUAUCAAAGUUUAGAGGAUUUAUCAAUCAAGUACAACUUGUGAUUGAACUUCAAUCCCAAAGCUAUCCAACUCCAAGAUCGCAAGUUAGAUUCAUUGGUACGCUUCUUUCAGAUUCAGUAUUAUCAUGGUUUUCAUCUUUUUUUAAACGACAAGAUCUAAUAUUGGAUAAUCUAGAGGCUUUUUUGGUAGAGUUUUGAUCCAUGUAUGGAGAACAUGAUGUAAUUCGUGUUGCAACCAAUAAGAUCCAUAUUUUAUGACAAGACAAUCGAUCAAUAAAGUUGUAUGCUUCACAAUUUUGACAACUUGCAAUUGAUAUCAAGUGGGAUGAUGCUGCACUUAUUAGUCAAUUUCUCUACGGAUUACAAUAUGAGGUAAAAAAAUUAAUGCUCAACUUAGUUGAUCCUCAAACAUUGAGUCAAAUAAUUGACUUUGCUGUGAAGUGCUACAAUCAUCUUUUUGAAUUCUGAUUUGAGAACCAUAUAAGUGGACCUCAAUGUUACUAUAAUUCAAUGGCAACACCAACAUCUCUUCAACACAUACAUUUGGAAGUAGAUGAUAUGUAAAUUGAUGCGAUAUGUUUCAAACCUCUUACUGAACAAGAAAAGACUUAUCGUCGUUAGGAAGGAUUGUGCUUAUAAUGUGGAGAAGCUAAGCAUACUACUCAAUAUUAUCCAAAGAAGCAAUGCAACCAUAAAAUGAGGAGUAUGGCGAUCAAAGAAGAUAGCAUGUCAAAAAAUAAAUUUGUCUAGCUACAAUAGAGAUAAUGUGGCUGGAACCUUAUAUAACGCCUAGUGAAGGUCCUAUCCUCUCCUUAGAACCUUCUCCAUGUUUUACAAUAAAUGUUAUUCUAGGACCUAAACAUCACAAAGUCUCUGCCUUACUAGAUUCAAGAGCCUCAGCAUGUUUCUUAGAUGAAUAAUUUGUUGAAAGACAUAGGAUAUUUUUAGUGAAGAAAACUAAACCUGUUCAUGUAGAAGUCAUAGAUGGUUGUCUAUUGUCUUCAGGAGAUGUUACUCAUGAAAUCCUUCUUAUAGAAAUAGCAACUAAUGGUCAUAGUAGUUUUGUAAUAUUUAAUAUCAUGAGAUCUUUUUUUAAUCCAAUCAUUUUAGGUUUAUCAUUGUUAGAAAAAUAUAAUUCUAAAAUAGAUUAGACUUCUCGUAGUCUUGACUUUUUUAAAAGUAUAGCUAAAAUCAUAGUUAAUCAAAUAGAAAGUCAUAAGUCUAGUAUAAAAAACCUAAAUUUAUAGGUACAAGAGCUUUUUUGUAUGCUGCAAAAGAAGGAUCACCUUGUGUCAUUUAUGUUGCACCUGUUUCUACUGGAGGAAAGACUUUAAGUGGCAUUCUAAGCCAAUAUCAAGAUUUUCAAGAUGUAUUUGAGAAGAAGAAUGCGGAUACUCUUCCAGAACAUCAUUCCUAUGUCUACUCAAUUGACCUUCAAGAAGGAGCACAACCGCCAUUUGGACCAAUCUACAAUUUAUUUCAAAAUGAGUUGGCUGAACUCAAGGAAUAUAUUGAAGAAAAUCUGGCCAAAAACUUCAUAUGCCAUUCCAAAUCUCAAACAAGAGCUCCAAUUUUAUUUGUGAAGAAAAAAGACGGACCAUUGCGGAUGUGUGUUGAUUAUUGAGAAGUCAACAAAAUCACUAUAAAAAAUAGGUACCCACUACCUUUAAUGUCUGGACUCCUUGAUCACUUGAAUCAAGCUAAGAUCUAUACAAAAAUAGAUCUACAAAGAGCAUACAAUCUGGUACAUAUCAAAAAAAGAGAUGAAUGGAAGACUGCGUUUCAAAUAAGGUAUGGACAUUUCGAAUAUAAUGUCAUACCUUUUGGACUUACAAAUGUACCAACAACAUUCUAAUAUCUAAUGAAUGAUGUCUUUUGGGAGUUUUUAGAUGAUUUUGUUAUCUGUUACCUAGACGACAUCUUAAUCUAUUCUAAGAAUAUAGAACGACAUGAACUUCAUGUUUGUCAUAUAUUACAAAAACUAAGAGAUGCGAGAUUCUAUGCCAAGAUAGAAAAGUGUAUAUUUCAUACUACUCAAGUUGACUUCUUAGGAUACAUCAUUUCAAAUGAUGGACUUAUGAUGGAUCCUAAGAAAGUUCAAAUUAUUAUGGAUUGGAAGAUCUCAAAAAUAGUAAGAGAUGUAAGGUGAAGCUCAAUUACGUUUUCUUCAAGCUUGUCAUGACUUUUCAGCACCAGAAUAUUUUGGGUACAAUAAAACUUUGGAACUAAUAUCCAAGGACUUUUGGUGGCCCCAAAUGUGAAAAGCCGUCAAAGAUAUUGUACAAUCUUGUGAUAUUUGCUUAAGAUCAAAAACUCCUCAUCAUUGACCUUACGGACUUUUUCAGCCAUUAUCCAUUCUAGAACAACCAUGGUCUUCUGUUUCUAUGGAUUUCAUCACGGAUCUUCUAAUCUCAAGUUCUUAUGACUCUAUAUUCGUGAUAGUAGAUCGUUUUACCAAGAUGGCAUAUUUUGUACCAUGUAUAAAAUCUAUCUUAGGUGAAGAAACAGCUAAGCUCUUUCUUGACAACAUCUAUCGCUAUCAUGGAUUACCCAAGGAUAUUAUAUCAGAUAAGAGAAUUCAAUUUGUAUGAAGAUUUUGGUGAACUCUUUUCAAGAUUUUAAAAAUGGAUAUAAAAUUAUUUUUGACAUUCUAUUUUUAAAUUGAUGGACAAAUGAAAUGUAUUAAUUAAGUUUUGGAGCAAUAUUUAAGAUGUACCAUUAAUUAUCAACUAGAUGAUUGGACAACUCUUUUGCUAUUGGUAGAGUUUGCUUACAAUAACAAGGUACAUUCUUCUACAAAACAAACACCUUUCUUUGCCAAUUAUGGUUAUCAUCCUUGAUUUGAUACUUUUGACUUUUUAAAAGUUGAUAAUCCUGCUGCAAAAGAUUUGGCAAUUCAUUUGUCAGAGCUACAUGCAACGAUGAAGGCGCAGUUAAAAGAAGCUCAAAAAUAACAAAAAGUCAAUGUGGAUGUCUAUCAAAAGAAACAACCACUAUUCCACAUGGAUGAUAAUGUAUGGUUACUUUGUUGCAAUAUCAAGACCACUCAUCCUUGUGACAAGUUGGACUAUCAAAGGCUUGGACCAUUUUCUAUUUCUAUACAAAUCAAUCUAGUUACAUAUCGUUUACACCUAUCAGAGUCAAUGAAAAUCCAUCCAGUAUUCCUUAUUGUCGUGAUGUAACACGACUAAUAGGUCAAAGAGUAUGGAUAUUAUUAUAAUUUAGGAGAUCUUAGUUCAAAGUAUUAGAACAAAUUAUCUUAGAAAUAUAGUUAAUAGUCAAAGGGGUAGAAAAAUUAAAAAGUACCAAUGCUGCCUUUUAGAUAGGUGACUUCUACUUACUUUGUAGCACCAUAAGUAAGGCAAAUCAAAGUAGAUUGGAAAAAUAAAUAACAUAAGCAUCUUUAUAAGAAAGUUAAGAGUAAAUUCUAGAAAAAAUUACUUAGAAAAACUAGAUAUUGGUAUCCGGAGAGGGCCGGUUAUGAACCAAGGUCGAAAUCAGACCCUAUGGCACAAAACUGAGUCUCGAUGACGAUUUCGGGGUUCUUUUGGAGAUCGGAGAGUGAGGUUUGAUAGCAAACUGAAUAAACUUUGUAUGAGCAUUGAUUUUGGGUGAUUUAAAGUUGUUAUGACUUUGUAAUAGCUUUGCAAAGUCAAAGAUUGUUUUGGAUAACUUAGGUUUUAUGAAAUAAAACAGGGUUUAUGUUUUGGGUGAUUUCAAGAGUUUUGUAAUACAUCUAAAAAUGAAAAUUUGUAGGUUCAUGGUUAUAGUUGUGUUUAAUAUGUGUUGUGAAUUUGAGCUCGAUCUAAUAGUUGAAUUGAGGAAUAUUGAGGUUUAAGUGGGUCAAGGUCUCAAAAAGUAGAAUUUUAGGUCAAAUAAGGGUUUUUAAGAUUUCUUGCAAUCUACUACUUGGAUUGGAGUAAAACUUAUAUGAAAGGAUAUUAGACUUGUUUUUCUAUGUGUAUGAGAAUUUUUAGAUCAAUUGAAUAGUGUAAAGGAGAGAUAUUGGCUAUGGAAGAUUGGCAUCAAGAUUGGAGAAAGAGGCCGGCCAAUACCUGAGCACAUUUUUGAGGUAAUCGACAAUUUGGUAACUUCGAUCCUUUUCAAAUUUUUUGUGCUUGUUUUUAACUUAUUUUUUAAGAAGUAUGCAAAAUUUGAAUGAAGAUCAAUAGUUUAUUCAUUAGUUAUUGAGGUUCAAAUCUAUUGUAGGAAUUACUAAGAUUUGGUUUAGGAUUUGGUUAGGGUUUUAUUUAGGGUUUAGGAUUUUAUUAGGAUUUAAGAUUUAAUUAGUUUUGGCCUAAAUUUUGAAUGAAGUUCAAUAGGAUUUUAACUAGAAUUAAAUUAAGGUUGAAUUGAGAUGUAUUUGAGUGAUAUUUGUGAUCCUUUUAAUAUUUCUUUAAGAAUUCUUAUUCUUUGUUUGAAAUUUCUUUGAGGUUUUUUUGAAUUUGAUUAAGCUUGAUUAGCAUUAUUAUGGUCUAAUUAGAGGAUUUUUAGUAUAUUAUAAGAAUUAAGAUUUUGUUAUUAUAAUUUCUAUUCUUCUUUCUACAACCAGGUACUUGGAGCAUUUUAAAGUAAGACUUCACGUAUUACGACACUGCAAAUGUAGAAGGGAAUCAAAGAUUUUGUACAAUCUUGUGAUGUUUGCUCAAGAUCAAAAAUUCCUCAUCAUCAACCUUAUGGACUUCUUCAGCUGUUACCUAUUCCAGAACAAUCAUGGUCUUCUGUUUCUAUGGAUUUCAUCACGAAUCUUCCAAUCUCAGGUUCUUAUGACUCUAUAUUCGUGAUAGUAGAUCGUUUUACCAAGAUGGCAUAUUUUGUACCAUGUACAAAAUCUAUCACAAGUGAAGAAACAACUAAGCUUUUCAUUAACAAUAUCUAUCCCUAUCAUGGAUUGCCAAAGGAUAUUAUAUCGGAUAGAGGGACUCAAUUUGUAUCAAGAUUUUGAAAAACCCUAUUCAAGAUUCUAAAGUUGGAUAUAAAGCUUUCUUUAGCUUUUCAUCCUCAAAGUGGUGGACAAACAGAAUGGAUAAAUCAAGUUUUGGAGUAGUAUUUGAGAUGUACCAUCAACUAUCAUCAAGAUGAUUGAACAAUUCUUUUACCAUUGGCAGAGUUUGCAUAUAAUAAUUUGGUACAUUCUUCUACUCAAAAAAUACCUUUCUUUGCUAAUUAUGAUUAUCAUCCACGUCUUGAUACUUUUAAUUUUUCAAAAGUUGAUAAUCAUACGAUGGAAGAUUUAGGAAAUCGCUUGUCAGAGCUACAUACAACAAUGAAGAUACAAUUAAAGGAAGCUCAAGAACAACAAAAGACCAAUACAAAUAUCUAUCGCAAGAAGCAACCACAAUAUAAUAUGGGCGAUAAGGUAUGGUUACUUUGUCGUAAUAUCAAGACUACUUGUUCUUGUGAUAAAUUAGAUUAUUGAAGGCUCAGACCUUUUCUUAUUUGUGAAUAAAUCAAUUCUGUUGCCUAUCGAUUAUAUCUACCAGAGUCUAUGAAGAUCCACCCUAUAUUUCACGUGUCUCUUCUGGAGCUAUACAAGACAGUGAAUAUUUUGGGAAGAAGACAAAUGCCACCUCCUCCUAUAGAAGUAGAUAAUAACCAAGAGUUUGAGGUGGAAGAAGUCUUAGACUCAAGGUAGCGCUGAAAUAGGUUGGAAUAUCUUGUUCAUUGGCGUGGACACAAUAUUAGUGAACACACAUGGGAGCCAUCAAAGAAUCUUGCAAAUGUAGCAAAAAAAGUUGAAGUCUUUCAUCAACAACAUCCAUUAAAACCAAGAUGAAGAAUAACAAACCUUUGCUAUAAAAGAAACAAGAUCAAAGGAAAAUAACAUUGUACCUUCUAUCUUUUAUUGUAGCUUCUGUGUAUUUGUGAUGAGAUGGAGCAAAAAACAAUCAGCAGAUUCAAUUCAAGAGCUUUCAUUUGCAGACUUACCAUAUGAGACAUUGCGAUUGUUACAACCUUCAAGACGACGGAAUUGAGAUAAAGAUCCUUAAGAAUGACAUGUCCUUCUUUGAAUAGAUGGCGAGAUACAACGUGUUUGGUAUCACGACCUUGGAAGAGAAUCCUGAUAUUUAAUGAAUUUAUUUGAGGUAGGAACUACUCCUGACGAUGUUCCAAAUAUUUUAUUUGAAAGAAGUUAUGAAGGCCUUAACAAUGACCAAAUAGUAGGGUGGUCUUCUCACCUUGGUAUGGGAUACUAUAGAUGGUUGAGAGGACCUAUCAACCAUCUUCGAAGAGAGCAAAGAUUGGAGUAUGUAGCAAAUAUAAUUUGCCGCAUCUUGGACUACCUCAACAUAUGAAGACCGCUCCUCGUGGAACUCGUCCCUAGAGCGGGGGAUAAUGUCACGGACAUAUAUAUUUACCUCAAUAGUUACUUAUAUGAUUAAGUAGAAUUAGGUAAAAAAGAAUAAUUUUAUAAAGUCUUCUAAAGAAACUUCCUAGAAGCUUUAUAGAUAUGGUUUUGACUUUAGAUGUGUUUGUAGGUUAGAAACUUGGCCAAAAAACUAACCAUGUAUUAGUAGCUUGUGGAACAAGCCAACUAUGUGGCGCAUACAUAGAUAACUUACCUUGCAAGAUAUGACAUGUCGCUAGCAAAGUUAGCACAUGUUGGAGGUCCUAUAGGAUAUCGCAAUGUAGCUUUUAGUUAGAUAGUAUGUAUGGAGGCAAGAGUGAAGCCUUCUUCACUCUUGUCAACACCUUUCUUGUCUUAGUCUUGUUUCAAGACUUUCUAGUCUUCUUAUUUUUGGCAAUAGCCAUUCUAGUUAAUAUUACAUCACCUUUUGAGUGACUUUCUAGUUCUCUUCAGUGAUAGAAGAGUAUAUUGAGGAUUCCCUUUCUUCGAGAUUCAUGUCCUUGACACUAUGUGGCCCAUAUGUAGAAAAACUUGAUUUGUAAGUCAAGGCAUGUGUCUUACAAAGUCAACACAUAUUGGAGGUCCUAUAAAACAUUGUCACAUAGCCCCUAGUUAGAUAGUAUAUAUAGAAAUAAGAGUGAAGCCUUCUUCACUCUUCUUAACUUCUUUUUUGCUUCCAAUCUAGUUUCAAGGGUCUUUAGUUUUCUUGGCUUUUGGCAAUAGCCAUUCCAGUUUUUUUCUUAAUAUACAUGUCAAGUUAUUUCUAUUUUUGUCAUUUUUCUAUAAGAGAAGUCUCACUUGUUUAUUUGUUUUUAUCAUAAUCUUGUCUUUGAAAUGGAGUGACCUAUUUCUUGUGAUUAAAUAGAGAACAUGCAAUCAAAUGAACUUUCUUCCAAAAUAUAACUUGGAUUUUUGUUUAAAAAAUGACUCUAAAUUUACUAGAUAUCAUUAAUAAAUAUAAGUAACUGUAAGAUAGGCAAUCUUCCAUUUCUUAAUUUUAUUUUUUAUUUCUUUGUAUAGACAACACAUACACAUAUAAUUCUCCCUCCUUACCACACAUUGAUUAAAUGAAUAAGUAGAAUGAAUAAUAAUCAUUUGAAACUAUGUUUGACAACUCACUCAGUAUUCUUGUUACUUGAAUUUCAACAUAAAUAAAGUCACCUUUGUUUAAUAUAAACAAAACCUAUUUUUACUGAUUUAUGGAACUUGUAUUCCAUUAUAUAGUUAUGAGUGUCAAUAAAGAUAGUGCCCAUUAUACUAAAUUUCAAGUUACAAACAUCACAUAUUAGUGUUGAAAUACAAUUUCAACUGAUGGUUAUUUAGUUCAUUUCUUUGUCAAAUUGAUGUGUAGUAAAGAAGAUAUCCACCUAAUGAAAAGGCAAGGUGUCCAUAGUAUAAUGGUUCUCUAAACAUAUACUUACUUUGAGUAGGAACUAGAAACAAAACAAUUGUAUCUAAAUCACUAUCCAUUCAAUAAAGGUUUCCAAAUGUUGUGCUCUUUUUUUCCUCUUCUCCAUUGCCAAGUACUCUCACCAUGUCCUCACUCUAAUUUUUUUUCUACAAUGUUUCCAAACCCACAAAUGUUCUCCUCCUCUUGUGACUUUGUUGUGGGGGAGGGGUGGGUGGGAGCGUCGCGGGUGGCCCAGCAGGUUCAUGGGAGCGAGGGAGGGAGUUGUCGCAGGCUCUUGGGAGAAACCCUAAAUUAGAAUGGGGGGGUGGGUGCAGGGUGGGUUCAGGGUUUAGGGUUUCUCCCAUGGCAUGGGCAGGCAGGCAGGCAGGCGGGCCUGUCCUCCCAGCUCCCUCUCCCACCCACACGCUCAAGCGAAUUGGGGAGCGGGAGGGCGGGGCUGAGGCUGAGGCUGAGCAGCUGAAUCAUUGGGUCCCCUUGUGAUGUGGUGUGGGAAGCGGAGGAGGAGGAGGAGGAGGAGGAGUAGUAGUAGGGAGAGGGCGUGAUCAUAGUUUGCCGAGACGGGUUUGCUGUGGUUUGGGUGUUGUGAUUGUCGUUUUGGGGCUUCGCGAGAUGACGUUGACGCUGUUGGAGCUCCUGGGCAGCGCGGGGCAGGUGGAGGAUGGCGCUGCGAGGGUGGACGUGGAGAGCUCGUGGUGCACGGCGGUGCGGAGGCUGAAUCCGUCGAUGGCGACGCCGUCGGAGCCCCCGUCGAAGAAAGGGGUUGCGAAGAAGCCACACGGUGUUGCGGACACUUAUUUCGAGGAUUUGAUGAUGAGGGAGAGCGGGGCGUGGCAAAUGCGGUGUCCGAAUGCCGAGGAGGACCGGGUUGUGGCGGAGCUGAAAAAGAAAUUGGGGAAUCUCGGGGAUUUCUCGAAGGAGGAAUUCGUGGCCAUGACGAGGCCUGUGUUGGAGAGUGCUGCGAGGGCGGAUGGGAACGCGGAGGGGGCGAAAGCGUCGGGGCGAGACGACGAGGCGAUGGAGGUGGCCGAUGCGGAAUUCUCGUAUUUGAGGGUGUUGAGGAAAGUGGGGCCUCACAUUGGUAGGAAGCUGUUGGCUUCAAUCGUGAGGUGCAGUUUAGGGCUGCAGUUCUGGGGCGCUCUGAAGGUUUUGCUGGAGUUGGGUCUGGUCACCAGCGCGUCCCAUCCGGACUUGGUUCAGAAGCUAGUGGAGCACAGGAAGGCGGAUUUUCUUUGCUUGUGCUUUUAUCAUGUGCUGGACCUCACCCCGUCCGACCUCAUGAUCGGACUGAAGUUUUUACUGGAGAUAACCCCUGCGUCCGGGAGGUCGUUCGAAGUCGUGCGGCAGGGGUGGCGAAGAGCAGCGUGUGAUGCCAUAGACCUCGCUGCCAGAAGAAAAGAGAAUGUCCGGAUGAGUGAGUAUCGUUUGCGAGAUGCAUUGGGCAUUGUUCCGGCAGAGGGAGAGGGUGCUUCAGGAGCAGCGGCAGCGAGUGAGCGUGAGAAACGAAAAUACGAGAAAUUGGUGAGCAGGAAAAAUGUAGCCGUAGCUUAUGCCGUCGCAAUGGCAGUGGCAGUGGAUGGUUUCGAAGGGUGGGAAACCUGUCUUCACGCAUUGGUAGCCUCCGGGCAAGACGAGGCGGUUUUAGCAGCAAUCGUGGCGGAGCUGGACACGUCGGAGGCGGUGCAGCUUCUGCAGUACGUGCGCAAAUGGCUGGAUCGAUAUUCCGGUCGGCUGUGCAGCAAUCCAUUGCCGAGGGGCGAGUCUAUGGAUUCAAUUUACAGAGUUCCGUCGUCGCAGCAGGUGCUUCAAUGGGUGAGCAUGGUGUUAGACGGACAGUAUACAAAAUGCGUACUGUCGCCGAAGUUUCUACCGGAGUUGAGAGCUAUACAGGGUUCGGUUCAGUCCGUGGUGGCAAUCGGUAGAAAGUUGACGCCGUUGUUAGGGGUGGUGGAGCAUCUCAGGGCUAUGCAUGCCCUGCCUGCUCGUGGACAGGACAGUGUCGCAAAUGCAGACUACACAAUAGAGUAUCUUGAUAUCAGUUGAUAUCGCGAAAUUUUGAUGCUUAACGUAGAUCAAUUGGAUUCUUUGAGAUUUCUAGGUUUUACCCUGUGUCCAUCGUGUGCUGGUAGUCAGGAGCUGUGCUUGCCAGAGGGCUCUGUUGGAUGCAUCAACGUGAGGAUGACUGUGGAGCUGUGCACUAUUAGUUUCGAAUUCAUGUCCGGGACCAGCUUCUGCUUCCUCUUCUUCGUUAUCGUCCUCACCCUGAUUUGAAUUUGAAUCUACAAGUGGGUCCUCUUCAGAGUCCUGCUCACUCCCUUCUUGGUUUAUAGUUUUCACAUUAAUAAAUUUGAAGGUGAUUUUGCUCCCUAUGCAGGCAUUGGAGUACCAAUAAAAUGCUUAAAACAUGUUGCAAUUAGCUUUUGCAACUGGGGAUUUUCUCUUAACGCCAUACAUCAUUCACAUUAGAAGAUAUACCAUAUCAAUUCAUAGCCUUCCUAGCAAAUGGUGGACCAUUUGCAUCAAAUGCAUUAUGUACCUUUCUCACAGAUUCUGCAAUUAGCCUUAGAAAGAUCCUUUUUUCUUGGAUUCUGUACAUCACCUGAACUCUUAUCAUUCCUUUGGACUGUAUUCCGAAAUCCUCUUAUGAUAGCCACUCAUGAUAGCUUUUAUCUUGUAUUGAUCCCAGGAAUCUGUUCAAGCAUCCCCGAUCUUCGAAAGCACAAAACAAUUGCAUGGUUGAGCCUUGUCAGUACUGCAGGGAGGCAAAUACUUAAUGACUGCAUUCAACCGCUGCAGUAAUGUAAACGAUGCUUCAGUAUAAUCAUGCCCCGUGGAGUUGUCCACUAAAGUAGUUCUGGUCGAAUUUCCUUGCAACAGAGUAAUUUGACAGCGUUCCUAAUUCAGCCAGUCAUUUCGCACAACUCUUGUUACAAAGCUUUUCUUCGCAGUUUUGUCUGCUACACAACAUCAUCACGAGCACCUCUGAUUGCAAGAGCGCAAAUUGCAUUCCCAAAUACCAGCGUAGGCACCUAAAUGCGAGCUCGAAUCCCUCUAGUAAGGCGGACAAUCAUUGUCAUUCCUUGCCCGCCAGAAACGACAUCUGCAUACUUCACACUGUCAUUACCGCGAAAACCCAAUGUCUUUCCGUUGUCCAUAUUGACAACAGAAUGGGUCUCAUCAACAUUCUCUACGAAAUCUUCACUAAGUGUGACGUUCUCAAAGUCUCUCUUCGCCUAUCUCAAAUGAAAAAUGAGUCUUGUCAAUGUGUGCCUGCAAGUCUGGAAGCACCAUAAAUUUGCCUGUAUUUUCUCUCCCAACAAUGUUGCACUUUCCCAUAAACCUCUGAAUCAAGCGAGUGGAAAUUCUUUUUGUGCAGAUCAACUUGCUGAUCAAAAUGAGGAUGCUCGGGCUUAUCAAGUGUCUGCUUCCCCAAUUGAUGCAACAGUCUUUGGCUGAACUUCACUCCUGCUUUUCUCAAUCGAUUUAACUCAUACAACAUGCUUGGGUAUAGCCAAGUCACCCAAGGUGCUGUUUUUAGAACUUUGCCUCUCUGCUCAUGUGAAAUGCCUUCCGUAUAAUCCCAUCUUGGCGCAUGUUGAUGGAAAUCUCAGUCAUGGAAAUCUCAGUCUGUUUGUCAAUGUGUUGCCAAACAACUUGAAUUUUCCACGAGUCAGAUGCCUUCUUCAGGUUCGCAUACUUGUCAGCUUUGAACUUAGGCGGAAAUGUGGUUAUUGGCCUUGAACACAUUUCAGAUUGUCUUGUUGAAAGAUAUAGAAUCAACUCUAGUUUAGUUCAAAUUACUUAAGUCUAUGAUGAGUUAUCUCAUCGUCAAAAAUAGAAAAAGUAGUCAGUGUAGCAUGGACUGUCGCAAUAAACAUGAGAUAAAAAUAGGAAUUAUUGCAUGUGUAAAACUAAAUUUGAUGUAUAAAUAUAGUUCAUGAAGAAAGUUAGGAUACUUUUUCAAUUGAAAAUAUUCUACAUGGUAUCAGAGCAUGGUUGGAGAAAGUCCAUCAAUCAUUCAGAGUAACAAAGGUCUUGAGAGUAUGUAGACUAGCAAUCUUGUUAGUUUGAAACCACGUCUCUAUAGGCUUUAAGUAGAAGCUAUUAGAAGACAUAAGAUUGGUCAUAGAGUUUUAUAGAAUGUCUUGCGAAAACUUAAGAAAUAGGAGAGAUUUAACCAAGAGGAUAUCUCUUCAUAUGUGAAAUCAACAAAUUAGUUGGUGACAGAAAUUAUUAUGUGUAGCAGUCUAAGUUGAAAUUGGUACUUAUCAAGGAGAACUUAUGGGCAAUUGUAGAAGAGAAAAGAGAAUCAACAAUAUUUCUUGCUUUGAUCGGACGCAAAUACAAUAUUGUGGCAGCUCUUUAGCAUGAAAAGAACAAAGUGCAUUCAGGAAUUUUGAUGUCCAUUUGUGACAAACUUAUGGAUAUGGUGAUGCAUAAAAUACAUUCAAGGAAAUAUAUCAGAGUGGAGAUCAAUCAUAGAUAAUGUUAAUUAACUCUCAAUUCUUUGUGUUAUGUUUGUAGGAACAAGAUGAUAUCAAAGAGUAUGGGAGAUUGGCAAGGAAAUAUAAGAACAAACUAGUAACAUUAGUAGAAGUGCUUUAAAAAAAAAUAACAAUAAAUCUCAACUUGAAUGGCUUACCUAGAGGUUAUGAUAUGAUGAUACAAUCAAUCAAUAAUUCUAUUUUACUACCAAGCUUUGAUAAGUGUGUUAAACAAAUAUUAAACAAGGCAAAGUAAUUGAAUAUAAGAGCUUGACACUUAGAGGAGGUCAAAGAAAUUAACUAUAUUGCAAGCCCAAAUUGACACUUGGAGGAGAUCAAAAAAAUUAACUAUAUUGUAGACUCAAAUAAUGGAUGUGGACAAACGUGAGGAAAAUUAUUACAAAAUGAAUACAAUGGUAGAGGUAGAGGACAUUCAAAGUUGAAAGGACUAUUAUUUUGCUUUGUAUGCAAUAAGCUUGGUCAUAUUACAAGAAAAUGUUAUCAUUGGAAAAGACAGAGUAUUAUAGCAAAUGAUGUUAACUUGGUAAUAGGUUCAAAAUUUGAAAAAUUGAAAGAAUUAGAUGAGCUCAAGGAAUUUCUAAUUGAAUCCCAAAAUAUAAAACAAUGAUACAUGGACAAUGUAUAUAGUAUUCAUGUGAUGGGAGAAAAAUAUUUAGUCACAAAUAUGACAUAAAUGGAUAACAAAAAUCUCACUACCGUAUGUGGUGAAUCACAUGGAAUUGAAAAAAAAUGAUUUAAAAACUGACCAUGGUAAAAUAAAGAUCACUAAUGUUUUGUACUUUCUAACUAUUAUCAAGAAUCUAUUAUUAGUGGAUUAUCUUAUAAAAGAUGGAAUAUUUUUUUUUUCACAAAAAAUUAUGUAUAUAUUUUAGAUAGUACAAAAAACUUUAAAAUGAUUGCAAUUGGAUAUAGAGACUCAAAAAAAAGGCUAUAUAAAUUUGAUAAUAUUAUGUUUAGAAAAAAAAACAAAAUCAAUUUAUUUUAGAGAAUACUGAAACUAAAAAAUGACAUUGUCAUUUUGGACAUCUAAAUUAUGCUAGAUUAUAUCAUCUUUCAAAGGCAAAUUAGGUGAAUGGAUUUCCUACAAUUCAAAAUGCAAAAUAAAUAUGAAAAGCUUGUUUAGCAGGACAAUAACAUAGACAAAAAUUUCUCAAGGCAUCUUUUAAUAGAGCAACAAAGAUAAAUCAACUUAUUUAUACUGAUUUAAUGAAACUUAUGAAAAUAACAUCAUUAAAUGGGUCAAGAUUUAUUGUCAUAUUUGUUGAUGAUAGAAGUCAUAAAAGUUGGUUGUAUUUUCUUAAAACAAGCGGUGAAACUCUUCAAAAAUUCAAGCAAUUUAAGACAAUGAUAGAUUCUGAAACUAACAAUAAAAUAGAGAUAUUAAAGACAGAUAGAGUAGGAGAAUUCUUAUCUACAACAUUUAUAAAAUAUUGCAAAGAAAAUGGAAUUAAAAGACAAUUGACAUAAGCUAGAACUCUUGCUCAGAAUGGUGUAGCAAAAAGAAGAAAUAGAGCAAUUAUUGAGAAGGGAAGAAAUUUGCAAUAUGAAUCAAAAUUACCUAUAUAUCUUUGGUCAAAAAUGGUAAAUAUAGAAAAUUAUCUUAUUAACAAAGGACUUACAAGGACUAAUGGAGGAGAAACACCAAAAAAAAGAUGGACAAAGAAGAAAUUAAAAGUUCAUCAUUUAGAAUUAUAGGAAGGUUGGCAUAUGUAUAUGUACCUAAGAAAGUGAGACCAAAAACUCAAUCAAAAACUAAAAAAUGUAUCAUGUUAAGAUAUGAUGAAAGGAAUAAAGUGUAUAGAUUAUGCUAUCGAUAGAAAAAGAAAACUCUUCUCAGCAGGGAUGUAAUAUUUGAUGAAUCCAAAGUUGGAUUCAAAUUUGUGAAAAUUGAUAAUAUGAUUAAAACCAGUACAGAGUGAAUUAGAAUUCCUACAACAAAUAUUCAGAAUCACGAAUUAUAUGACAAAGUUGAUCAAAUUGUUGAUCAAGAGCAUAUUGAUCAAGCAGUAACUCAACAUGAAGAGCAAAAGUUUGCUUUAGAACAAAAUGAAAACAAUACCAAAACCGGAGUACAAAAUGAAUGUUCUGAACCUCCACAAGAAGAAGUUUACAAUGAUUUCGAUGAUGAGAAUGAUCUAUCAGCAAUUACAGAAGGUAAUAUUUCAAACAAUACUAUUCAGAGAAAAUGAAAAUCUAGUCACGAUAUUAGAGAGAUAAAUCUGCAAAAAUCAAAAAAAAAAAAAACAAAAACAAAAA
rnacentral:lncRNA from 1 species